ACGCUGGCGGCGUGCUUAACACAUGCAAGUCGAACGAUGAAGCCUAGCUUGCUAGGUGGAUUAGUGGCGAACGGGUGAGUAAUACGUGAGUAACCUACCUUUAACUCUGGGAUAAGCCUGGGAAACUGGGUCUAAUACCGGAUACGACCAAUCUCCGCAUGGGGUGUUGGUGGAAAGCGUUAUGUAGUGGUUAUAGAUGGGCUCACGGCCUAUCAGCUUGUUGGUGAGGUAACGGCUCACCAAGGCGACGACGGGUAGCCGGCCUGAGAGGGUGACCGGCCACACUGGGACUGAGACACGGCCCAGACUCCUACGGGAGGCAGCAGUGGGGAAUAUUGCACAAUGGGCGCAAGCCUGAUGCAGCGACGCCGCGUGAGGGAUGACGGCCUUCGGGUUGUAAACCUCUGUUAGCAGGGAAGAAGAGAAAUUGACGGUACCUGCAGAGAAAGCGCCGGCUAACUACGUGCCAGCAGCCGCGGUAAUACGUAGGGCGCGAGCGUUGUCCGGAAUUAUUGGGCGUAAAGAGCUUGUAGGCGGUUUGUCGCGUCUGCUGUGAAAGGCCGGGGCUUAACCCCGUGUAUUGCAGUGGGUACGGGCAGACUAGAGUGCAGUAGGGGAGACUGGAAUUCCUGGUGUAGCGGUGGAAUGCGCAGAUAUCAGGAGGAACACCGAUGGCGAAGGCAGGUCUCUGGGCUGUAACUGACGCUGAGAAGCGAAAGCAUGGGGAGCGAACAGGAUUAGAUACCCUGGUAGUCCAUGCCGUAAACGUUGGGCACUAGGUGUGGGGGACAUUCCACGUUUUCCGCGCCGUAGCUAACGCAUUAAGUGCCCCGCCUGGGGAGUACGGCCGCAAGGCUAAAACUCAAAGAAAUUGACGGGGGCCCGCACAAGCGGCGGAGCAUGCGGAUUAAUUCGAUGCAACGCGAAGAA
rnacentral:rRNA from 1 species